rnacentral:rRNA from 1 species
CGAACGGGUGAGUAACGCGUGAGGAACCUGCCUCAAAGAGGGGGACAACAGUUGGAAACGACUGCUAAUACCGCAUAAGCCCACGGAUCCGCAUGGAUCUGCGGGAAAAGGAUUUAUUCGCUUUAGGAUGGACUCGCGUCCAAUUAGCUAGUUGGUGAGGUAACGGCCCACCAAGGCGACGAUUGGUAGCCGGACUGAGAGGUUGAACGGCCACAUUGGGACUGAGACACGGCCCAG